rnacentral:lncRNA from 1 species
GGGCAGCCCCCCCCUCCGCGCGCCCCCGCCCCGCGCGCGCGCCGCGCGCCCCACUAGCGCUCUGCGCGCGCCGCAGGCUGUAGCCGGCCGGGGUCGCAGCACGCCUCCCCGCUCCGCCCCCUCGCGCGCCGCCCGGCGCCCCGCGCACGCGCGCCGCCCCCUGCUCCUUCAGCGAGGGUCUGCGGGGAGCGCGCGUCCAACGCAGGUAAUGAUGAAACUCCUGCUCUGGUCCGGGCUACCGGUGAACAGCGCCCAGCGGGCCGGGCCCCCAACCUCGCUCCUGAGCCUGAACAUCCCCCCAACCCCACCGUGAGAAUUCAGCGAAGAGUAAAAGCUGGAAAAAGUUGCGUGUCUUAGGCUAAGCAGAACAAAGUGGGGUGACGGCUCCCCGGCUAGGAACAGAGAUGCCCUUAGGGAGCCCUCUGAUGGAAGAGCUCUCCGCUUAAGAAGGUCACCACUCCCUUACACUCAGGAGAUGUUGCUGAGAUGGGUGCAUUAAAGUUUAGGCUUUCCAGAGUUUAUAUUGCUAACAACUUGAAAGGAAAAAAGCUAACUAGAGAACUGACUGGUCUUAUUUGUUUUAGAUUCUGGGCUUUACUAAGACUUCCUACUCUCAGAAUCUCUGGACUAUAAACGCUGGGUGGGGUGGGAGCUGGGAAUGUUAUUCUGGAAAAUUAAUCACAAAUGAAAAGAAAAUCAACUCUAAGACUCCAGUUAGAAGAUUUUUGAAAAUGGCAGAACAUGACUGGCCUUCAUUCAAGUCAGAAUAUUUAAAGCAAUCCUUGCUAAGAAGAACUUGAUUUUGUAUAAGCAGUCCCUUAAAUACAGUUGCUUCUCAAGAAAACCACACACAAUUGAUGUUUGAAUGGCUUUAUUUACAAACAUCUCACUCCGUAAGCCUCUGCAGGUAUUUCUAGCCUCCCAGGGGCCACUGUCCCGUUUCACCUGUAAUUUGGAUCACAAUUCUGUUUGUUGUCACACACAUCAUAUGAACUGCUUUUCAUGCUGCUUUUAUCCACAAAGCUUUACAAGCUUUAAUGGCAGCUCUAUGUAUGACAACUUUAUAAAGAUCUGCCAAAAGGUAUGAUGCCAAGCUUUGCUUUUAUUAAACUAUUAGCUAUUAGCACUGAAACGAUGUUCAGUAGAGAAGUACUCUCCUUUCAAUAUGUGAGUGGAAACACAUUUCUCUAUGGGGACUGCUGGUCAGGGACUCACUCUAAAGAAAAGCCACAGUGUUGUGGUUCAGAGCAUGGGCUCAAAAGACAAAUGGAUAAGAAGCCCAAGACCAGUCCUUCUGAGCUGUGUGACCUUAGACAAGUUGUCUAAUCUCUCUGUGUCUCAGCUCUGCCUCAGUGUUGUUAAUGGGAUUGCCGUGAGAGCAAUGCUGUAACAUGUAAAAAGCACUUAGAACUGUGUCUGGCACACAGAAAGCACUCGAUAAAUAUUGACCUGGUUAGCAGCAGCAGCAGCCAUCGCUGGAGCAUCUCUACAUCAUACAGGGCCCGAUGGAAAGAGACCAGCACUGAGAAUGAACAGAACAGUGCUGGCUCUGACCCGCUGGCUCUGGCAUUGCUGAAUAACUCUAAGCAAGUCUCUUAAGCUUUUUAAAUAUGAUUUUUCACCAGUAACUAAUGAAGGGAUUGAAGGAGCAGGUCCCCUGACGUCUUUUCAAAUUCUAAAAUUCUCCAGCUUUAUUUAAUCCUGCAGUGAAUCCUUUUGCAAGGUAAAGAGUACUCGCUCCCCUCAAUAACAUCUUAUGAGUUUAGGUUUCGGUGCAUAGGGCAAUACCCAGGGCAUAAAUCAUUUCCACUGUCACCAUAGCCCGCAGGUGAGGUGAGCAAUCCAUUAGCUUGCUUCUGGAAACAAGCCUGUCUGUAUUUGUUCCCCCAGCAUCUGCACUCAGCACACUGACUUUGCUCAGUAUAUGUAUUGGAUGGAUAAGUGAGUAAAUGAAUGAAUGACAUAAAGAUCAUAGAUUGCCUCAGCCUUCUAUUGGAAAAUAACCUAAAGGGAGGGGGAAAAUUACUACUUAAAACCACAAGUGCCACUCAAGGGAUGCCUCCUAUGAAAGGAGGAGUGCUAACUGCCAGGUCCCCACUGGUUCUUCGUGCUGCUUAUGGCCUGGAAGGCCUCUCCUGCAGCCAAGAGCCCUGAUGUGCUUGGGCUGUGCAACGGUGAGUCUGGGGUGAGUCUGGGAACUUUAGGCGCAGGAAUGGAGAGCGCUGACUCCCUUUGCCUAAGAAAGGGGACUUAGAGGGGAACUUGAAAGAGGGAGUAAGAGAGAGGGCAACAAGAGGGGCCGAGGCUAGGCAGUCCAUGCAGCGGGUGCCAAGCCUGAGGUGGGGUGGUCUGGAAAUCAUUCCAGAACAGGAAAUAUGUUCUUCUGUCUUCUGUGCCAUUUUAAGUUCUGUACAGCAAUGCCUGCUUUUCCAGUGAUCCUUACAACUUCCCAGCUUGUAUUUGUGGGUACUUUGAUGGAAAGUUGCAGGGGAAGCAGGGAACUAGGGCUGGGAUCAAUACCAGGACCAAGAUAAAGGAACAGCUGUAAGAGCAAGAGAACAAGAACUAAGCAAAAGCAGGGAAUUUGGGGCCUGCCAUGAUGAUGGGAACGUGGGCUCUGAAGAUCCACAGACAGCCAAGGCAGGCCUCGGCCUCUCCAUGGGACUGGAAAGCUCAUCUUGUCUCCCUCUCAAGGAGUAAGAAGAUGACUUCUGGAUACGUGAGUCACAAAAGGCCAGAACUUUUCUGCAUCUCCCACGGCACCCCCUUACAAGGGCAGGUCAUUUUGGGGCAUGCCACCUGGGCCAGUGGCAGCAGGUACUGAGCAAAUCCACCCCCCACCUCUCAGAGCUUGUCUCUUCCUGUCCUGGCCAGGUCUGUUUCUUCUCUCUUGAUCAACAGAAAUAACUCCCAAACUGCUUGGUAUAGAGCAGUUCAUGAAUAGAGAUUCAAACAGGUCACACUCAAUUAUGAAAUCAGGGUGCCUGGGCCAGGCCUGGCAUAACCCUGAUCUCAGAGGACCACCCCUACCCUCCCCAGGGAGCCACCAGAGAAGCUGUCACAUGCUCCUAAGACGUGCUUGCCACCAGCACCCCCAGACACUUAUGUGCUGAAAUUGCCAACAUGCAGAUUCGGAUUCAGAGGUCCAAUCAGGGCCUGAGAAUCUGCACUCCUUGCAAGCCCCCAGGUGGUGCCAACACAGCAGAAACAUUGACAUCUUAGGCCCCACCACAGACUUAAGCCAAAUCUGCACUGGAACAAGAUGCCCAGGCAAUCUCCCACCCUGAAGUUGUUCAGACUGGCCUCACUUAGGGGAGGGAGUUCCAGAUUAGAGAAAGGUCAGAUCAGCGGAGCCCAGAUGGACAGCCACCAGACAAAGGAGGAGAGGAGGGAGAGGCAGGUCAGAGAGAUCAGCCGGCCUUGAUUCUGCAGCACCUGGAGCCACAGUGGGAAAUUGAAGCUAUCCUCGGGGCACCAGAAAGCCAGUGGAAGGUUUCCAAGAGGAGAGUGACAAAAUCAGAUGGACCAUUUUAUAGGAUUCUUCUGGCUGGGGAUGCAGAUCCAGUUGGAGGCAGGGGGGGAUAGUUGAAUUAAGGGAGGCGCUAGAGAGAGCUAGGGUAGCAGUCCAAGAGACCCAGAUGAGGGUAGCUGCAGUAAGCAGACCAGCACAUCACUCAUGGUCCAGGGUGAUUUGCAGGCCUCUGAAGCAGCCAAGUACAAAACGAAGGCCCUCCCACUUCCCUUCUCCCUGGACCAGAUCUCUCUGACUUCUCACCUGGAAGGUGCCCACAGGUUGCCAACUCCUUGUCCUGUUUCCAAACCCUCCCUCCUUCAAUCCAUCUGACACUCUCCUGCCCCUGCUCAAAAACCUUCAAUAGCUCCCCAUUGCCUGCCAAAUGAUCUGCUAACUCCUCCACCCACACUGUUAUGUUCUACUUCUAUGUCUGCCUAACCCGUGACACAGUAGUUCACACUUUCAUUCAUGCAACAAAUAUUUAUUGAGUAUCAUCAAUGUGGCAGGCACUAAAAAGAAACCACUCAUCUGCCAAGGCACAUAAUCAAUUUCAGGAGGCUUAUAGCCACACUGAAAUGCUCUUCCAAAUAAGUGCUUUGGCUGUAGCAAAUGAAAAUAAUAAUAGAAAACACUUAUUAAAUACUAACUUUGUGCCAACUAUCAUGUUAAACACUUUGUGGGACUAUCUUAAUAAUCUUCCUCAGACACCUAUAAUGGAGAGGGUUGGCCUCAUUUUUCGUUUUGUGGGUUUUUGUUUUGUUUGUUUGAGACAGGGUCUCACUCUGUCACCAAGGCUGGAUUGCAGUGCUGUGAUCUCAGCUCACCGUUGCCUCAACCUCCUGGGUUUAAGCAGUCUUCCCACUUCAGCCUCCCAAGUAGCUGAGACCACAGGGAUAUGUCACCAUGCCUGGCUUUUUUUUUUUGUCUUUUGGGGGGUGCUACCAUGUUGCCCAGGCUGAUCUUGAACUCGCGAGCUCAAGCAAUCCACCCGCCUCAGCCUCCCAAAGUGCUGAGAUUGCAGGCGUGAGCCACUGUGCCCAGCUGGUUGGGCUCAUUUUAGCCAAAAGAAAAAUCUCAAGUCACUUGCAACGUAAGUGCAACAACUAAAUUCAUAGGGUAUGAAUUCAGGCAGUCUCAACCCAGGACUUCUCCCUCAACCCCUGUCCUCUGAAUGUCCUUGUACUCUAAGUCAUGGGGCUGUGAGUGAAACAACAUCAAAUAAGGCAUGUUAAAGUGCACAAUAAAACCCCAUUCAAAUUCUCUUUCCGACUCACCUCAUGCUAAUCCCAAGUCCUCCCAUGAUGCCCGGGUCACACCGACCAAGCAAUUCCAACCUUGAGGGUUUUGUCUUCCUUUUCCAUUUGCCUGGAACACUCUCCUUCAAGGCCUUGUUUUGGCCUCUCACCAUUCAGAUCUCUGCUCAGAUAUCACCCCUGGCAUCUCUGGGAGAGAAGCCACUGAGACACUUGUAGGCAAUAAUGGAAAUCUGCCAAAAAUUCUCUUGGUGGGCUCCUAUCACGUUCUAAGCCCUUUUCUCCUGUUUCCUUUUUUCUGUCUUCCUCUCCACUUCCUCCCACCUCCCCUUGCCCCUUUAGCCCUUCAAGAACAAGUGCCUCUCUCUUCUCCUCCGUGUUCUCCUCCUUAAUCAAAAGCUGCUCUCAUCAAAAGAUGUCCUGUCCAUCAUAUACGCCUUAGUGUGAAUUUGUUGGUAGGUCAAUUUUCCCAGAAAUGUCUGAUUUAUUUUUAUUUUUUAUUUUUUUUUUAAUUUUUUUGAGACCAGGUAAGUCUUGCUCUGUCACCUAGGCUGGAGUGCAGUGGUGCGAUCUCGGCAAUCUCAGCACCCUGCAACCUCAACCUCCACCUCCCAGGUUCAAGCGCUUCUCCUGCCUCGGCCUCCCGAGUAGCUGGGAUUAUAGGCAUGUGCCACCAUGCCCAGCUAAUUUUUGUAUUUUUAAUAGAGAUAGAGUUUCACCAUGUUGGCCAGGCUGGUCUCGAACUCCUGGCCUCAAAUGAUCUCCCUGCCUUGGCCUCUCAAACUGCUGGGAUUACAGGUGUGAACCACCACACCCGGCCAGGAGUGUCUGAAUUUUAAACCAUAUGCUUGAUUAUAAAAUAGUAGAGUUUGCCUUUCUUAAAGGAAUUUCAUACAACUGGGUUGCUAGUUUGUGUGUGUGUGUGUGUGUGUGUGUGUGUGUGUGUGUGUGUGUGUGUGUGUGAUAUGUUAGGGGCAGCAGGUUUUUCCUUAACGCCAGGAAUCAUUCAGGCUGACUUUGUUCAGCUGGAAUAAUUUCAGGCAUCGUGAUACAGUUGAAAGGAAAGAGGAUGAACAUUAAAAUAAGGAAGGCCUCAAUUUGAAUCUCGCUUCUGACAGUACUCGAACGAUCUUAGACUAAGUGAUUUCACUCUGACUCCCAGUUGUCUCUUUUAUAAUGUGAGGGUAAUUAACUAUUGUAAAGAUUAUUGUAAGAGCUAGAUGAGAUCACAGGACACACCAUAAGGGCUCAGUGGGGCUGGAAUGCGUGAAGUCCUCUUUGGAGCAGUCAGGCCUGAUGGACCCCGUGCCUGGGCUCGAAGACACCUACACACACUCCCAGGGCCCCCACUGCUUAUAACUGUUUCUGGAAAGAACUGAGCAUGAAACUUGGCAGGAGACCACAAAACGUCCUGGAAUCCUGGCCACUGUCAAGUCUAGAAUGCUCUCCUCCAGAGAAUCACAUUCUUGGGGCCAGUGUUGGAGCAUGGAAGACUUAGUUGGGGAUUGGAACUGCUCCAGCCCUGAAGCCCUCCUUCCUGUCCCUGUAACCAGCAAAUGUCACUGUCUGUCUUGCCAGGCUAACAACCUUUCUCAUAAGCAUCACCAAACCUGACCAGACAUCAGUCCUCUGAAAAGAAUCAUAAUCCAGCCACCAUAAACCCAAAAGCCAAAGUGGUAAUUAUCUAAAGAUGAGGAAAGGUUUCCUCCCAGGCCCUCCAGGGGCCAAGGAAGUUCUCACAUUAAACAGUUACACUGAUCUCCAUUGAUUUCUUCAGUCCAUCAACCAAUUAUUGGCAACUUUUUCUUGGAAACCUACUGUAUGUGAG